rnacentral:rRNA from 1 species
ACUCCUACGGGAGGCAGCAGUGGGGAAUAUUGCACAAUGGGCGCAAGCCUGAUGCAGCCAUGCCGCGUGUAUGAAGAAGGCCUUCGGGUUGUAAAGUACUUUCAGCAGUGAGGAAGGUGGGUAUGUUAAUAGCAUACUCAUUUGACGUUAGCUGCAGAAGAAGCACCGGCUAACUCCGUGCCAGCAGCCGCGGUAAUACGGAGGGUGCGAGCGUUAAUCGGAAUUACUGGGCGUAAAGCGCAUGCAGGUGGUUUGUUAAGUCAGAUGUGAAAGCCCGGGGCUCAACCUCGGAAUUGCAUUUGAAACUGGCAAACUAGAGUACUGUAGAGGGGGGUAGAAUUUCAGGUGUAGCGGUGAAAUGCGUAGAGAUCUGAAGGAAUACCGGUGGCGAAGGCGGCCCCCUGGACAGAUACUGACACUCAGAUGCGAAAGGCUGGGGGAGCAAACAGGAUUAGAUACCCUGAUAGGCUCUGC